UACAUACUGUGCGAACGUUAUUCGGAUUCACUGGGCUUAAAGGGUGCGUAGGCGGCUUGUUAAGUAGGGUGUGAAAGCCCCCAGCUCAACUGGGGAACUGCACUCUAUACUGGCGAGCUGGAGUGAGAUAGGGGUGUGUGGAACUGCCAGUGGUGCGGUGAAAUGUGUUGAUAUUGGCAGGAACGCCGGUGGCGAAAGCGACACACUGGGUCUCAACUGACGCUGAGGCACGAAAGCCAGGGGAGCGAACGGGAUUAGAUACCCCAGUAGU
rnacentral:rRNA from 1 species